CAGUAGCCGCGGUAAUACGUAGGGUGCGAGCGUUGUCCGGAAUUACUGGGCGUAAAGAGCUCGUAGGCGGUUUGUCACGUCGUCUGUGAAAUUCUAGGGCUUAACCCUGGACGUGCAGGCGAUACGGGCUGACUUGAGUACUACAGGGGAGACUGGAAUUUCUGGUGUAGCGGUGGAAUGCACAGAUAUCAGGAAGAACACCGAUGGCGAAGGCAGGUCUCUGGGUAGUAACUGACGCUGAGGAGCGAAAGCAUGGGUAGCGAACAGGAUUAGAUACCCCUGUAGUCCCUGUCUCUUAUAC
rnacentral:rRNA from 1 species